UACAGGGGGGGCAAGCGUUGUUCGGAAUUACUGGGCGUAAAGGGCCAGUAGGCGGCCAACUAAGUCACACGUGAAAUCCCCCAGGCUUAACCUGGGAACUGCGUGUGAUACUGGAUGGCUUGAAUUCGGGAGAGGGAUGCAGAAUUCCAGGUGUAGCGGUGAAAUGCGUAGAUAUCUGGAGGAAUACCGGUGGCGAAGGCGGCAUCCUGGACCGACAUUGACGCUGAACGGCGAAAGCUAGGGGAGCAAACGGG
rnacentral:rRNA from 1 species